AGCGAACGCUGGCGGCAGGCCUAAUACAUGCAAGUCGAGCGGGUCCUUCGGGAUUAGCGGCGGACGGGUGAGUAACGCGUGGAACGUGCCCUUUGGUACGGAACAACUGAGGGAAACUUCAGCUAAUACCGUAUGUGCCCUUCGGGGAAAGAUUAUCGCCAUUGGAGCGGCCCGCGUUGGAUUAGGUAGUUGGUGAGGUAAAGGCUCACCAAGCCUACGAUCCAUAGCUGGUCUGAGAGGAUGACCAGCCACACUGGGACUGAGACACGGCCCAGACUCCUACGGAGGCAGCAGUAGGGAAUCUUGCGCAAUGGC
rnacentral:rRNA from 1 species